UGGUGGAGUGAUUUGUCUGCUUAAUUGCGAUAACGAACGAGACCUUUUCCUGCUAACUAGUCAGGCUAGCUUUGGCUGGUCGCUGGCUUCUUAGAGGGACUAUCAGUUUCAAGCUGAUGGAAGUUGGAGGCAAUAACA
rnacentral:rRNA from 1 species